UACGUAGGGUGCGAGCGUUAAUCGGAUUUACUGGGCGUAAAGCGUGCGCAGGCGGUUUGUUAAGCGAGAUGUGAAAGCCCCGGGCUCAACCUGGGAACCGCAUUUCGAACUGGCAAACUAGAGUCUUGUAGAGGGGGGUAGAAUUCCAGGUGUAGCGGUGAAAUGCGUAGAGAUCUGGAGGAAUACCGGUGGCGAAGGCGGCCAUCUGGCUGAUAACUGACGCUGAGGUGCGAGAGCGUGGGGAGCAAACAGG
rnacentral:rRNA from 1 species